rnacentral:hammerhead_ribozyme from 1 species
AUCCAGCUGACGAAUUCCAAAUAGGACAAAACAUACGUCCUGGAU